CGAACUCUGGUAUUGAUUGGUGCUUGCAUCAUGAUUUACAUUUGAGUGAGUGGCGAACUGGUGAGUAACACGUGGGAAACCUGCCCAGAAGCGGGGGAUAACACCUGGAAACAGAUGCUAAUACCGCAUAACAACUUGGACCGCAUGGUCCGAGUUUGAAAGAUGGCUUCGGCUAUCACUUUUGGAUGGUCCCGCGGCGUAUUAGCUAGAUGGUGAGGUAACGGCUCACCAUGGCAAUGAUACGUAGCCGACCUGAGAGGGUAAUCGGCCACAUUGGGACUGAGACACGGCCCAAACUCCUACGGGAGGCAGCAGUAGGGAAUCUUCCACAAUGGACGAAAGUCUGAUGGAGCAACGCCGCGUGAGUGAAGAAGGGUUUCGGCUCGUAAAACUCUGUUGUUAAAGAAGAACAUAUCUGAGAGUAACUGUUCAGGUAUUGACGGUAUUUAACCAGAAAGCCACGGCUAACUACGUGCCAGCAGCCGCGGUAAUACGUAGGUGGCAAGCGUUGUCCGGAUUUAUUGGGCGUAAAGCGAGCGCAGGCGGUUUUUUAAGUCUGAUGUGAAAGCCUUCGGCUCAACCGAAGAAGUGCAUCGGAAACUGGGAAACUUGAGUGCAGAAGAGGACAGUGGAACUCCAUGUGUAGCGGUGAAAUGCGUAGAUAUAUGGAAGAACACCAGUGGCGAAGGCGGCUGUCUGGUCUGUAACUGACGCUGAGGCUCGAAAGUAUGGGUAGCAAACAGGAUUAGAUACCCUGGUAGUCCAUACCGUAAACGAUGAAUGCUAAGUGUUGGAGGGUUUCCGCCCUUCAGUGCUGCAGCUAACGCAUUAAGCAUUCCGCCUGGGGAGUACGGCCGCAAGGCUGAAACUCAAAGGAAUUGACGGGGGCCCGCACAAGCGGUGGAGCAUGUGGUUUAAUUCGAAGCUACGCGAAGAACCUUACCAGGUCUUGACAUACUAUGCAAAUCUAAGAGAUUAGACGUUCCCUUCGGGGACAUGGAUACAGGUGGUGCAUGGUUGUCGUCAGCUCGUGUCGUGAGAUGUUGGGUUAAGUCCCGCAACGAGCGCAACCCUUAUUAUCAGUUGCCAGCAUUAAGUUGGGCACUCUGGUGAGACUGCCGGUGACAAACCGGAGGAAGGUGGGGAUGACGUCAAAUCAUCAUGCCCCUUAUGACCUGGGCUACACACGUGCUACAAUGGAUGGUACAACGAGUUGCGAACUCGCGAGAGUAAGCUAAUCUCUUAAAGCCAUUCUCAGUUCGGAUUGUAGGCUGCAACUCGCCUACAUGAAGUCGGAAUCGCUAGUAAUCGCGGAUCAGCAUGCCGCGGUGAAUACGUUCCCGGGCCUUGUACACACCGCCCGUCACACCAUGAGAGUUUGUAACACCCAAAGUCGGUGG
rnacentral:rRNA from 2 species